rnacentral:sRNA from 1 species
CAGGCAAAGAGUCUGAGAAAUUCAGGACUACCAAGGGGAGCCCUUCCCAGUCCUUAUCUAAGCCUAUAACCAUGGAGAAAGCAAGUGCUUCUAGUUGUCCUGCCCCUUUGGAAGGAAGGGAAGCUGGCCAAGCUUCUCCUUCUGGUUCCUGUACCAUGACAGUGGCACAAAGCAGUGGGCAGAGCACAGGAAAUGGUGCUGUCCAACUCCCUCAACAGCAGCAACAUAGCCACCCGAAUACCGCGACAGUGGCACCAUUCAUUUACAGGUCAGUACUUAUUCCUUCUGAGACUUCAAUAAAUGCUUCAUAGUACUCUUUGUCACA